rnacentral:rRNA from 1 species
GUCCACGCUGUAAACGAUGGGCACUAGGCGUCGGGGAGCGACCCUCCCGGUGCCGUCGCUAACGCAAUAAGUGCCCCGCCUGGGGAGUACGGCCGCAAGGUUGAAACUCAAAGGAAUUGACGGGGCCCGCACAAGCGGUGGAGCAUGUGGUUUAAAUUCGAUGCAACGCGAAGAACCUUACCUGGGCUUGACAUGCACGUGAAAAGCCGGUGGAAAACACCGGACCUCCUUCGGGACACGUGCACAGGUGCUGCAAUGGCUGUCGU